GGCUCAGAUUGAACGCUGGCGGCAUGCCUUACACAUGCAAGUCGAACGGCAGCACGGGGCAACCUGGUGGCGAGUGGCGAACGGGUGAGUAAUGCAUCGGAACGUGCCAUUGAGUGGGGAUAACGUAGCGAAAGUUGCGCUAAUACCGCAUAUUCUGUGAGCAGGAAAGCAGGGGACCGCAAGGCCUUGCGCUCUUUGAGCGGCCGAUGUCAGAUUAGCUAGUUGGUGAGGUAACGGCUUACCAAGGCGACGAUCUGUAGCGGGUCUGAGAGGAUGAUCCGCCACACUGGAACUGAGACACGGUCCAGACUCCUACGGGAGGCAGCAGUGGGGAAUUUUGGACAAUGGGCGCAAGCCUGAUCCAGCCAUGCCGCGUGAGUGAAGAAGGCCUUCGGGUUGUAAAGCUCUUUCGGCCGGGAAGAAAUUGCAUGGGCUAAUACCCUGUGUGGAUGACGGUACCGGAAUAAGAAGCACCGGCUAACUACGUG
rnacentral:rRNA from 1 species